UACGAAGGGGGCUAGCGUUGUUCGGAAUCACUGGGCGUAAAGGGCGCGUAGGCGGCGCGACAAGUCAGGCGUGAAAGCCCCGGGCUCAACCCGGGAAUUGCGCUUGAUACUGUCGUGCUUGAGGCCGGGAGAGGAUGGCGGAAUUCCCAGUGUAGAGGUGAAAUUCGUAGAUAUCGGGAGGAACACCGGUGGCGAAGGCGGGUCUCUGGGCGAAUUCCGUGACGCUGAGGCGCGAAAGCGUGGGGAGCAAAACGGGA
rnacentral:rRNA from 1 species